ACGGGUGAGUAAUACAUCGGAACGUGUCUUCUAGUGGGGGAUAACUGCCCGAAAGGGCAGCUAAUACCGCAUGAGACCUGAGGGUGAAAGCGGGGGGUCGCAAGACCUCGCGCUGGAAGAGCGGCCGAUGUCCGAUUAGCUAGUUGGUGAGGUAAAGGCUCACCAAGGCGACGAUCGGUAGCUGGUCUGAGAGGACGACCAGCCACACUGGGACUGAGACACGGCCCAG
rnacentral:rRNA from 1 species